rnacentral:rRNA from 1 species
GACGAACGCUGGCGGCGUGCUUAACACAUGCAAGUUGAACGAAGUGGCGAACGGGUGAGUAACGCGUAAUCAACCUGCCCUUCAGAGGGGGACAACCGUUGGAAACGACUGCUAAUACCGCAUACUGAAGGCGGGGAUUGCGUCUGAUUAGCUAGUUGGCGGGGUAACGGCCCACCAAGGCGAUGCUCAGUAGCCGGUCGGAGAGGAGGAACGGCCACAGUGGGACUGAGAAACGACCGAGACUCCUACGGGAGGCAGCAGUGGGGAAUCGUCCGCAAUGGACGAAAGUCUGACGGAGCAACGCAGCGUGAGUGAUGACGGCCUUCGGGUGGUAAAGCUCUGUUAAUCGGGACGCGGGACCGGAAUAGAAAGCCACGGCUAACUACGUGACAGCAGCCGCGGUAAUUC